GUCUAAAACAGAAGACGAGAAGCUUUUUGUUGAUCGAGGACCCCCACACGCUUCAGCCAAGAGUGCCGUGGAUCAUAAGGAACUAUUUCCUGAACUAGGAAAGGAACCAAAUUCGUAUGAGGGGGUAAAUGUUCCUAAAGAAGGUGAUGCAGAACGGGAGUCUGUCAAAAUGCAAGAACCACCUGCAGGCCAUGCUGUCAAUCAAGAAAAUGCUGCCAAUGAAGAAGUGGAGCGGGAGCACCUCUUAAAUUAUGACGCUCAGCCAGAUGACCAGGAGCCCAGUCAGGAUGAUAAACAGGGAGCUAAAGCAGCAAACCAGAACAACAUAGCAGUUGACUACAACCUAGAUGAAAAUGAAGGUGAAUCUGAAACUGACAAGCAAGCAGCACUGGCAAGCAAUGAAAAUAACUUGCAUGCCCCAAAUCCUGAAGAUCUGAAUAUGAAGAACCACUUAUUUGAUCAAGGUGAAGAGGAGAGACAGAGGCUGUGAAUAAGGAAGCACACCAUGUGUGACUCAAUCACUUGUAAACAAAUCCAACCAUAAAGAUCCAGGUGAAGCUAGAAUGCUUGAUUGCUGUCUCAAGGCUUUAAAAGGGUCCCAAAUCAAGUAGAUUGUGGUUGUGAAGUUUUAGUACUAUGCUUCAAUGGUUAAAACUAUACUUUGUCUCUUAGAGGUUUAAAGGAGUUCUGACUUGUCAAAUUUUUUUUUUUUUUUUUACUGUUUUUAAAACCUUAAUUAGCUAGCAAUAAUUGAAAUACUUUUACAGUCAGCUAAGUUGUACAAUCAUAAAACAAUGGCAUGAAGUAGGGGAAACAAAGUAAUUCUAAGAUCAUAUUUUGAAUUCCUACCUGUGCUUCAGAUGCUAAACUUAGACUGAUCCUCCCCCAGUAAAUGGUACUUUUAGUCCUUAUUAUCACAAAGGCUGGAAUAGUUGACCUGACCCUCUCAAACUACUACAAGGCUUUUGGAUAGCUCCUCCCCCCCCUCCCCUCCUGUAAUAUCAUCGCUCUUCACCACAGAAGAACAGCAUGGUUCCCAUGGGAGGUCAUGGCAAAGAGGCUGGACCUGCAUUCACAAAGCUAGCAAGGAGGUGUAGAUUAGCUUUACAACUCAUUUUAGUAGGAGGAUUUGGUUUGUGUCAAACUGAUUUGAAGCUACCACUGUCUAAGGGAAGGCUAAAAUGGUGUGUAAUGCAUAUUCCUUACUUCACCCAUCCACCGUUGCAUUCAAAGACAUUUUUAUGUGGGACUCCAUGAGUAAACUUGAACACAUUAAAGUUAUAUUAUGCAUAACAGAAUACUCAGUUAUUGUACAAUGUUUUUAUUGUAACAUGUUGAAUGUAUUCAUUGUGUCAACAAACAUACAGUACCUCCUAGUGCCAUUAGGAAAGCUUUGGGAGUGCUGGUCUCUGCUUGUUAACUGCAAGGUGCCUCUUGAAGCAGGAGUUUAAAGUGGGGAAAGUCCACCACACCAUCUAUCACAGAUGGUUCUCGACCAUGCUGUUUUAAAACAAUUAGUAUCACACACAUUCUUAGCUACCCCUGAGAUUUUGUCCUUGAUUCCACUUAUAAAUCCUGGUUGAUAAAAGCAGGUAGGUUACAGGGAUUUGGACCCUGAUACUGAAGGUCGCCUGUAUGCCACAGUCCAGUGUUUCAGACAGCAAGGGAAAAGAAAAUGAAAGCAGCUGGCAUCCUGUAACUGCUUGUUCAAAAGGACUAUUUUUAUAAUUUGAACAAAUACAGAUCAACAGGUCAGAUACUAAUGCAGAAUAGAAGACAGUAAAACAAAAUUAGAGGAGAGAAGAGUUGGUAGGCAUGACUGAAUUGUACAAAGGACUGCACAUUGCAUUUAAGUUAUACUCUCACAGCGAGGGAAAUCUGAUGCUUCACUCACUACUCAUGCACUUUAUUUCCUUUCUAGUUAUGUACUGUAUGCCAUAGCUCACAGUGCCAGUAAUCUGGCUAUAAUCAUUUGAGCACAAUUUUUUUGUAUCUUAGAUAAAGCUGCCAUACAAUAAAUAGGGCUGUGCUCAGAAGCUGCA
ensembl:lncRNA